rnacentral:rRNA from 1 species
CUACCAAGGCAACGAUGGGUAGCCGAUCUGAGAGGAUGAUCGGCCACACUGGAACUGAAACACGGUCCAGACUCCUACGGGAGGCAGCAGUGGGGAAUAUUGCGCAAUGGGCGAAAGCCUGACGCAGCGACGCCGCGUGAGGGAUGAAGGUCUUCGGAUCGUAAACCUCUGUCAGAAGGGAAGAAACUAGGGUGCUCUAAUCAUCAUCCUACUGACGGUACCUUCAAAGGAAGCACCGGCUAACUCCGUGCCAGCAGCCGCGGUAAUACGGAGGGUGCAAGCGUUAAUCGGAAUCACUGGGCGUAAAGCGCACGUAGGCUGUUAUGUAAGUCAGGGGUGAAAUCCCACGGCUCAACCGUGGAACUGCCCUUGAUACUGCACGACUUGAAUCCGGGAGAGGGUGGCGGAAUUCCAGGUGUAGGAGUGAAAUCCGUAGAUAUCUGGAGGAACAUCAGUGGCGAAGGCGGCCACCUGGACCGGUAUUGACGCUGAGGUGCGAAAGCGUGGGGAGCAAACAGGGUUAGAUACCCUGGUAGUCCACGCCGUAAACGAUGGACGCU